GGCAGGGGGAAGCCUUGGGGUUUGUUGCCCUGCAAGGAUCUCCUGCCUCUUGUUACAUCUUUCUUCUCAUUUCCUGUGGUUUAAGCACAUUAGUCCUUGCCUGGACUCUAUAGUCAUGGAGUCCAGAUGGUUUGUGUGUGGUCACUGGUCAAAUACAUGAGGAAGAGUGAAACCUAUCUCCUCAGCAAGGGAAGCAGGGUUGCUUUGGCUACCAGAAACACAGCCCACUUGUAUGGUGUGAUCAAGGAUAUGCAGCCACAAGCCUCACAGGGCCUCUGUAAAGAAGAGAGAGGAGGUUCAAGUUGGAAACAGUCUUGGCAAAGGAGACCUUGGCUAAAGAAAUAUACAAAGUCCGUGGAUUAAAAGAUUACCAAGAAGAAGAAAGAAACAUCAAAAAUACAAAACAAUGUAAUGGGAUUCUUGCUGGAGCCAGGCCAGUGACCUAGGGGAUGGCUCUACCCAACUCAUGGAUGGGAUCUGAUGAAGUGACAGAAGCAGGUUUACUCCAAGAAUACCGCAGUGGCUCCCUUGAGAACAUAGAUAUAGGCCACCAGGAAAGCUUCCAGCAGGGUGAACGAAAUG